GAUUUAGUAGUCGAUGUCUAGUGGUUAUGAUUUGUGUCUCACAGAUGUACACACAAGGUUCGCAGUUCGAUCCUGGGCUGAAUCA